GAUGAACGCUAGCGGGAGGCCUAAUACAUGCAAGUCGAGCGGUAGAGUGACUUCGGUUGCUUGAGAGCGGCGCACGGGUGAGUAACGCGUACAUGACCUACCUUUAAGACUGGGAUAGCCCUGGGAAACUGGGAUUAAUACCGGAUGUGAUAAUACGUAUAGAGAUGUAUUAUUAAAGUUGAGGCGCUUAGAGAUGGAUGUGCGUCUGAUUAGCUAGUUGGUAGGGUAACGGCCUACCAAGGCGACGAUCAGUAGGGGGCGUGAGAGCGUGGUCCCCCANACGGGUACUGAGACACGGACCCGACUCCUACGGGAGCAGCAGUAAGGAAUAUGGUCAAUGGAC
rnacentral:rRNA from 1 species